CCUACGGGAGGCUGCAGUGGGGAAUAUUGGACAAUGGGCGCAAGCCUGAUCCAGCCACGCCGCGUGAGUGAUGAAGGCCUUCGGGUCGUAAAGCUCUGUGGGGAGGGACGAACGGCGCCAUGAAGAGUGGCGAUUGACGGUACCUCCUUAGCAAGCACCGGCUAACUUCGUGCCAGCAGCCGCGGUAAUACGAAGGGUGCAAACGUUGCUCGGCGUCAUUGGGCGUAAAGCGGCUGUAGGCGUCUUUCUAGAAAUCCCUCGGCUUAACCGAGGACGUGCAUCCGAAACUGGGAGGCUUGAGUAUGGAAGAGGGUCGCAGAAUUCCCGGUGUAGAGGUGAAAUUCGUAGAUAUCGGGAGGAAUACCAGUGGCGAAGGCGGCGACCUGGGCCAAUACUGACGCUGAGGUGCGAAAGCGUGGGGAGCAAACAGGAUUAGAUACCCGGGUAGUC
rnacentral:rRNA from 1 species